rnacentral:sRNA from 1 species
GUCAGGAACUGUGUGUGAUGUUGCAGGGCAUGAGGCACAGAAGAAAAUCUAAGAAGUCCAGUGAUGACUUCACUGACAUGGAGAAGGUUGAAAAGAGCAGGCAAAAGAAUCCUCGAAGCUUAUGUAUCCAGACACAGACAGCUCCCGAUGUGCUGCCCCCUGAGAAAACACUUGAAUUGACGCAAUAUAAAACAAAAUGUGAAAACCAAAGUGGAUUUAUCCUGCAGCUCAAGCAGCUUCUUGCCUGUGGUAAUACCAAGUUUGAGGCAUUGACAGUUGUGAUUCAGCACCUGCUGUCUGAGCGGGAGGAAGCGCUGAAACAACACAAAACCCUAUCUCAAGAACUUGUUAACCUCCGGGGAGAGCUAGUCACUGCUUCAACCACCUGUGAGAAAUUAGAAGAAGCCAGGAAUGAGUUACAAACAGCGUAUGAAGCAUUUGUCCAGCAGCACCAGGCUGAAAAAACAGAACGAGAGAAUCGGCUUAAAGAAUUUUACACCAGGGAGUAUGAAAAGCUUCGGGACACUUACAUUGAAGAAGCAGAGAAGUACAAAAUGCAAUUGC